rnacentral:rRNA from 1 species
UACGAAGGGGGCUAGCGUUGUUCGGAUUUACUGGGCGUAAAGCGCACGUAGGCGGAUCUUUAAGUCGGGGGUGAAAGCCUGAGGCUCAACCUCAGAAUUGCCUUCGAUACUGGAGAUCUUGAGACCGGAAGAGGUAAGUGGAACUGCGAGUGUAGAGGUGAAAUUCGUAGAUAUUCGCAAGAACACCAGUGGCGAAGGCGGCUCACUGGACCGGAACUGACGCUGAGGCGCGAAAGCGUGGGGAGCAAACAGG